rnacentral:tRNA from 1 species
GUCCUUGUGUGUAUAAAUGGCUAAUGCGCUCAGCUGCUAACUGAAAGGUGGAGGUUCAAAUCCACCAGAGGACC